rnacentral:rRNA from 1 species
AAAUUGAAGAGUUUGAUCAUGGCUCAGAUUGAACGCUGGCGGCAGGCCUAACACAUGCAAGUCGAACGGUAGCACAGAGGAGCUUGCUCCUUG